CAACCCUCGGCAGCCCUAAGCGAUAUGUCAUUUUAAACAGCAAAAUCACCAGCGAAAUAACAUAAAAUUGAAAGAAAAAAUGUGGCGCUUGACAGAUUGGGAACAGGACAGGUAAGGAUUACCGCCCUAGCCAGGGUCCUGCGUUGACCUCAGGAAGCCCAGAGACGCCGUCGCCUCCAGGGCUCCUGGAAUCCUCCAUGACAGUAUCCACUGCAACUCCUGGGCCUCCAACACUCACAGUGGGAGAGGCCUCAGAGUCCACCCAGACCACUGGAUCCCAAACGUUCUCUCCUCAAGUGAGCCAACCAGGAUGCGGCCACAGGUCUAUGAGGAUAGUUGGGGGAAUGCCGGCCCCCAGGAGGAAGUGGCCCUGGCAGGUGAGCCUGCAGAUCAGUAACAAACACAUAUGCGGAGGCUCCCUCAUUGCCAGCCGGUGGGUGCUGACCGCUGCCCACUGCGUCACUGGCCAUGAGGAAUAUACAGUACGGCUGGGAGACAAAUCGUUAUGUCCUAAUUCCAAAACGACACUGGUGGUUCCAGUUGAAGACAUCGUUUGCCACCGCUUUUUUGAUGAUACAACUUUGAGACACGACAUUGCCCUUGCUCUGCUGGCCUUUGCUGUGAAUUACUCCUCCUACAUCCAGCCUGUGUGCCUCCCUGAGAAGUCUUUCCAAGUAGAAACUGGGACGGAGUGCUGGGUGACUGGCUGGGGCCGACUGGAAGAAGGAGUUUUAGCACCGAUGCCAGUUCUUCUUCAGGAGACGGAGCAACGCAUUCUUCACCACAAGAAAUGCAACUGGAUAUUGCAGACACAGGAACGUUUUGCAGCAUGGUGAGAAAAGGGAUGAUCUGUGCCUAUCGAGCAGAGAAGAAGGGUAUCUGUAAGGGAGAUUCUGGAGGCCCCCUGGUCUGUGAAUUUAAUGAAACAUGGGUCCAGGUGGGGAUUGUGAGCUAGGGCAUUGGCUGUGGUCACAGAAAUUUUCCUGCGGUUUAUACAGAAGUUAGUUUCUAUAGGGACUGGGUUAUUGAUCACUUGAGUCAGGCUUGCUCUUGGGACUCAGCAGGCUGUUUCAUACUUCUGUGCCUGGUGCUGCCCCUGGGCAUCCUGGUGGCCCCAUGAUCACCCCUGCCCACUCCCCUCCUGUUUCCGACUCUUAACAC